rnacentral:tRNA from 1 species
GCCUUCGUGGUGUAGUGGUCAGCACGCUGGGCGCGUAUUCCAGAGGUGCCUGGUUCGAGUCCCGGCGAAGGCG